UGAAGACCGAAGGAUGUGUAAACAACCUGUAAAGCACUUAGAGCAGUGCCUGGCAUGCCGUAAGUUCUUACAAGCGUGUGGAUCAACGUUGCUGGAAGAGAGUGAAGAUAUGAUCAAACCAGGAAUGACAUAGUGGCAUGCAUCAGUAUGCGGUUGAGAUGAGAUCUGGUCUGUGAAAGCCUCCUGCACAGUGCAGGCAGAGUGCCUGCGUGGAGAAACUGAUGGAAUACCACCAUAGCCAGGAGCCCUCGGAUGCUGGGAUUAACACACGGGACUCUCUGCUAAGGCUGUCCUCCUCCCGAUUCCAUGCCUGGUUAAACCAUAUUGAAAGAAGCAAGAGUGUUAAAAAAGGACCCGGAG